GGUGAUAUGAACCGUUAUAACCGGCGAUUUCCGAAUGGGGAAACCCAGUGUGUUUCGACACACUAUCAUUAACUGAAUCCAUAGGUUAAUGAGGCGAACCGGGGGAACUGAAACAUCUAAGUACCCCGAGGAAAAGAAAUCAACCGAGAUUCCCCCAGUAGCGGCGAGCGAACGGGGAGGAGCCCAGAGCCUGAAUCAGUGUGUGUGUUAGUGGAAGCGUCUGGAAAGGCGCGCGAUACAGGGUGACAGCCCCGUACACAAAAAUGCACAUAUUGUGAGCUCGAUGAGUAGGGCGGGACACGUGGUAUCCUGUCUGAAUAUGGGGGGACCAUCCUCCAAGGCUAAAUACUCCUGACUGACCGAUAGUGAACCAGUACCGUGAGGGAAAGGCGAAAAGAACCCCGGCGAGGGGAGUGAAAAAGAACCUGAAACCGUGUACGUACAAGCAGUGGGAGCCUCUUAAUGGGGUGACUGCGUACCUUUUGUAUAAUGGGUCAGCGACUUAUAUUCUGUAGCAAGGUUAACCGAAUAGGGGAGCCGAAGGGAAACCGAGUCUUAACUGGGCGCUAAGUUGCAGGGUAUAGACCCGAAACCCGGUGAUCUAGCCAUGGGCAGGUUGAAGGUUGGGUAACACUAACUGGAGGACCGAACCGACUAAUGUUGAAAAAUUAGCGGAUGACUUGUGGCUGGGGGUGAAAGGCCAAUCAAACCGGGAGAUAGCUGGUUCUCCCCGAAAGCUAUUUAGGUAGCGCCUCGUGAAUUCAUCUCCGGGGGUAGAGCACUGUUUCGGCAAGGGGGUCAUCCCGACUUACCAACCCGAUGCAAACUGCGAAUACCGGAGAAUGUUAUCACGGGAGACACACGGCGGGUGCUAACGUCCGUCGUGAAGAGGGAAACAACCCAGACCGCCAGCUAAGGUCCCAAAGUCAUGGUUAAGUGGGAAACGAUGUGGGAAGGCCCAGACAGCCAGGAUGUUGGCUUAGAAGCAGCCAUCAUUUAAAGAAAGCGUAAUAGCUCACUGGUCGAGUCGGCCUGCGCGGAAGAUGUAACGGGGCUAAACCAUGCACCGAAGCUGCGGCAGCGACACUAUGUGUUGUUGGGUAGGGGAGCGUUCUGUAAGCCUGUGAAGGUGGCCUGUGAGGGUUGCUGGAGGUAUCAGAAGUGCGAAUGCUGACAUAAGUAACGAUAAAGCGGGUGAAAAGCCCGCUCGCCGGAAGACCAAGGGUUCCUGUCCAACGUUAAUCGGGGCAGGGUGAGUCGACCCCUAAGGCGAGGCCGAAAGGCGUAGUCGAUGGGAAACAGGUUAAUAUUCCUGUACUUGGUGUUACUGCGAAGGGGGGACGGAGAAGGCUAUGUUGGCCGGGCGACGGUUGUCCCGGUUUAAGCGUGUAGGCUGGUUUUCCAGGCAAAUCCGGAAAACCAAGGCUGAGGCGUGAUGACGAGGCACUACGGUGCUGAAGCGACAAAUGCCCUGCUUCCAGGAAAAGCCUCUAAGCAUCAGGUAACAUCAAAUCGUACCCCAAACCGACACAGGUGGUCAGGUAGAGAAUACCAAGGCGCUUGAGAGAACUCGGGUGAAGGAACUAGGCAAAAUGGUGCCGUAACUUCGGGAGAAGGCACGCUGAUAUGUAGGUGAAGCGACUUGCUCGUGGAGCUGAAAUCAGUCGAAGAUACCAGCUGGCUGCAACUGUUUAUUAAAAACACAGCACUGUGCAAACACGAAAGUGGACGUAUACGGUGUGACGCCUGCCCGGUGCCGGAAGGUUAAUUGAUGGGGUUAGCGGUAACGCGAAGCUCUUGAUCGAAGCCCCGGUAAACGGCGGCCGUAACUAUAACGGUCCUAAGGUAGCGAAAUUCCUUGUCGGGUAAGUUCCGACCUGCACGAAUGGCGUAAUGAUGGCCAGGCUGUCUCCACCCGAGACUCAGUGAAAUUGAACUCGCUGUGAAGAUGCAGUGUACCCGCGGCAAGACGGAAAGACCCCGUGAACCUUUACUAUAGCUUGACACUGAACAUUGAGCCUUGAUGUGUAGGAUAGGUGGGAGGCUUUGAAGUGUGGACGCCAGUCUGCAUGGAGCCGGCCUUGAAAUACCACCCUUUAAUGUUUGAUGUUCUAACGUUGGCCCGUAAUCCGGGUUGCGGACAGUGUCUGGUGGGUAGUUUGACUGGGGCGGUCUCCUCCUAAAGAGUAACGGAGGAGCACGAAGGUUGGCUAAUCCUGGUCGGACAUCAGGAGGUUAGUGCAAUGGCAUAAGCCAGCUUGACUGCGAGCGUGACGGCGCGAGCAGGUGCGAAAGCAGGUCAUAGUGAUCCGGUGGUUCUGAAUGGAAGGGCCAUCGCUCAACGGAUAAAAGGUACUCCGGGGAUAACAGGCUGAUACCGCCCAAGAGUUCAUAUCGACGGCGGUGUUUGGCACCUCGAUGUCGGCUCAUCACAUCCUGGGGCUGAAGUAGGUCCCAAGGGUAUGGCUGUUCGCCAUUUAAAGUGGUACGCGAGCUGGGUUUAGAACGUCGUGAGACAGUUCGGUCCCUAUCUGCCGUGGGCGCUGGAGAACUGAGGGGGGCUGCUCCUAGUACGAGAGGACCGGAGUGGACGCAUCACUGGUGUUCGGGUUGUCAUGCCAAUGGCACUGCCCGGUAGCUAAAUGCGGAAGAGAUAAGUGCUGAAAGCAUCUAAGCACGAAACUUGCCCCGAGAUGAGUUCUCCCUGAGACUUAGAGUCUCCUGAAGGAACGUUGAAGACGACGACGUUGAUAGGCCGGGUGUGUAAGCGCAGCGAUGCGUUGAGCUAACCGGUACUAAUGAACCGUGAGGCUUAACCUU
rnacentral:rRNA from 1 species